AGAGUGAACGCUGGCGGCAGGCCUAACACAUGCAAGUCGAGCGGCAGCGCGGGGGCAACCCUGGCGGCGAGCGGCGGACGGGUGAGGAAUACAUCGGAAUCUACCUUGUUGUGGGGGAUAACGUAGGGAAACUUACGCUAAUACCGCAUACGACCUGAGGGUGAAAGCGGGGGACCGCAAGGCCUCGCGCGACAAGAUGAGCCGAUGUCCGAUUAGCUAGUUGGUGAGGUAAAGGCUCACCAAGGCGACGAUCGGUAGCUGGUCUGAGAGGAUGAUCAGCCACACUGGAACUGAGACACGGUCCAGACUCCUACGGGAGGCAGCAGUGGGAAUAUUGGACAAUGGGGGCAACCCUGAUCCAGCCAUGCCGCGUGUGUGAAGAAGGCCUUCGGUUGUAAAGCUACGUUUUUGUCCGGAAGAAAUCUCACGAUUUAAGUACGUCGGAGAGUGAACGGUACGGAAGAAUAAGCACCGGCUAACUCGU
rnacentral:rRNA from 1 species